rnacentral:lncRNA from 1 species
AACAUCGGUAGGUUGAUUUUCUAGGCACUUUAUAUAUAUAUAUAUAUCUUUCGACGUAAACCCGAAUAUGAGACAACGUAGAAUUUGAAUACACAUACACAAACACAAACGCAUUGCAACAUUUUGAUUUUUUAUUAAAAGAAUAAAUUCAGUCUCUGCUUUUACUCUUGUUUUACCUCCCAGAAUUGUAUGUUUAUUUAUAUUUUCUCUAACUUUUCAGCCAUGAUGUCUGAGAGACAUUUCAAAAUUGGCCUUCAACACUAAAUGCUUCUAUAGUACGUUUGCCCACGACAAUGCAGUUUGUUUAUAAAUUACAAUGGAAAACACGCUACAGUACAUAAACAUAUUGUCCUUUAAAUAGGUUUAAUUUUGCUAUGUGAAAAAAACAGAAAUGUCGUAUUAAUAAUGAAUAAGUAUAAAUGUACAGCUAAAUUUUCAAAUUUAUUAAAAAAUGUCUUCAGUUAAGACAAACAGUUUAACGGCGUGAAAAGCAGCGUCUUCUAUAUGUAAAAUAAAUUUGCAGAUUUUGGCACUUCUAUCACAUUCACUGGCUACCUAUAGAACAAUAG